rnacentral:sRNA from 2 species
AAAAGUUAUAAGUCGUUCCCGAUAGGAUUCACUUUUCAGUGAAGAUGCCUUGUAACCGCUCUAAAUCAAGAAUUGGGGGAAUUUUUACAAUG